AGCAUUCACUGCACCUUUUUAGAGGAAGAUAAAUGCUAUGAUCUCAUCACACAUACUUUUGUACAAGAUAAUGGAGACGUAUUGCCUCCUAUUGCAAAGUACGUGCUUUGUAACUAUGGUGCUGACAGUGCAAUGUAUAGAUGUCUAACCCAGUAUGAUCGUGCUCAAUUGCACUAGGAAAGCCAACCAAUUAGGUAACAACUGCUGUACUGCAGAGAAUACAAGUGUCAAUCUUAUGUUCAUUUGGUUUUCUAAAUGUUGCACUAGGUAGUUCUGUUGUGCAACACUUAGAAAAAUGUUAGUAAAUAUUGGUGAGAUCUUAAAAUGAAGAUGUUUGUGACCAUGUGUUUCUGUAGUCUACCAAGAUGUGGUGUAACAGACGGAUGUUGUGAGGACCUGGCCUCUGUCCUUCACUCCAGUCACAACACUCCAGUCCUGAAGAAUUAGAUCUGAGCUUCAAUGACGUGGGUGAUUCAGGGGUCAAACUUCUGUCUGCAGCUCUGAGGGAUCCAAACUGUAAAUUACAAACACUGGAUGCUAAAAUGUGGGUUAACAGAGAUGUUGUGAAGAUCUGGCUUCUGCUCUUCAGAUGCAAUAUUCCAGUAGGAGAGACCUGGAUCUGAGUGACAACACACUGGGUGAUGCAGGAGUGAAAGUGGUGUCUGCUGCUCUGAGGGAUCCUAAGUGUAAAUUAGAAAAACUGAGCCUGGAAUAAACCUUGUUCCUAGUAUAGGUCACUACCUGGCUUGGUUGUUACUUUAGGAGCUUUGGUUUUCACACUGUUGUAUGUAAAAUCAAUCUUAUGUCAUGACAAUCGUGAUGUCAUGACAGCUGUGGCCUGGACUCAUUGCACAUAGCGUUGUAGAGAGGAUGAACAAAGGCAGCUUGCACUUGAGGGGACCCCACUACAUUCAUUCUGUCUCAAGGACGAAGGCUAGAGUCUACUGCAAAACCUGCCCGUAGAUCCUCCUGCAGGGGGAGGGUGGAAAAAAUUGAAAAAAUGUGCUGGAACUGAAGCGUCAGGAGAGGCUGGGGGUAUCAAAGGUCCCAGCCCCCAGAGAAGAAGAAGAGCUGUAAGUCCAUGGCAGAGCAGUGGCUGUUGGCAGUUGGUCCCAAAGAAGUGCAGUAGAAACUCUUGUAUGGGACAAGCUCAGACCAUCUCAAGAAUUCCUAGAGGAAAAGAAAGCCACAUGAAAAAGUAUCCAGAAGCCCAGCUGAAGACGUCUACAUGACUGAGACCCAGCAGAGACUCAGAGACUGGGACAAGCUGAAGGAGAAUGAGGCCCUACAGGCUGAUAAUCAGCAGAGGAAGAGCCUGCAGUCCAAGGUAGUUGCCCUGGGUAGUUGUCACUCAGCUGCAGUUUAGCUUGGCAGAAAGUGAAUACGUGCUGCGGACACAUCUAAAAGAAAUGACUGAGAAGCUCAGGAAGUCUCAGAACAGCAAUAGUGGGCUCCUGGAACAGGCCAGACAAACACAGCUCUGCAGGGUGUCCCUGCUAGUCAUGGAGUGCAGGGACAGACCUGAAGGACAGCUGGGCUCGUGUGGGGAAUCUAGCUCAGUAAGACAGGCGCUGAGAAGAGACAGCUGGAAGAGAUCCUCUCCACAGAGGCCCUGCUGGAGGCCAGCCAGCAGAAGGAGAAGGAAAAUUGGGGAGAUUUACCAAAUGAAAGAAUAAAAUGAACAACUAAAUUGCUACGUUAUGGAAAGUUCCUUGCAAAAUAUUGCAUUAAAGCAGGGGUAUCCAUAAAAAAAAACUGCAAAAAGAAAGAGUUCUGCUCAGUCCACAUAUGAUGUUGCAGAUGGGUACAAGAGAGGCUUAGGUUUACUUUAUCUCUGGGAGAAAUUUGGCUAUAAGCAGACUCUCUUAAAAGUUGGAAUUGAAUAACAGUAAUUUGGGUGAUUCAGGUGUGAAACUGCUCUGUAAAGCUCUGAAGGAUCCCAACUGUAUAUUGGAAGAACUGGGGUAAGAUAACAUUGAGUAAUUUCUGUGAAAGUCAAUGUUUAGUAUUAGCAUAUGGCUGUCCUGGCUGUCUGGAAAGAUGAAGUUAAUCAGAUCAUUUGGCAUAACUGUUGCUUUUAGGAACUGAAUC